GACGAACGCUGGCGGCGUGCUUAACACAUGCAAGUCGAACGGAAAGGCCCUGCUUUUGUGGGUUGCUCGAGUGGCGAACGGGUGAGUAACACGUGAGUAACCUGCCCUUGACUUUGGGAUAACUUCAGGAAACUGGGGCUAAUACCGGAUAGGAGCUCCUGCUGCAUGUUGGGGGUUGGAAAGUUUCGGCGGUUGGGGAUGGACUCGCGGCUUAUCAGCUUGUUGGUGGGGUAGUGGCUUACCAAGGCUUUGACGGGUAGCCGGCCUGAGAGGGUGACCGGCCACAAUGGGACUGAGAUACGGACCAGACUCCUACGGGAGGCAGCAGUGGGGAAUAUUGCACAAUGGGCGGAAGCCUGAUGCAGCAACGCCGCGUGCGGGAUGACGGCCUUCGGGUUGUAAACCGAUGUCGCAUGUGACGAAGCGUGAGUGACGGUAAUGGGUAAAGAAGCACCGGCUAACUACGUG
rnacentral:rRNA from 1 species